UCUCUCUCUCUGGGGGAAGCCAGCUGCCAGGUCAUGAGGUUACCCAAGCAGCCCUGUGGAAGCACUCUCUCAUGUUGCUGGUACUGUUGGCCCAAGAACACAUUUUGAGAAGACUGGCCUAGAAGAACCAACAACGUGGGCUUCUUAUGGGCAGAUGGCACUGGAGAAGAGGGUGAGACUCAGUGUCUUCUCCCAAAUUUUCAUAUCAAAUAAAACCUCUUUCCCCAGAGAGAAGUAACAAGAGAGGCAGAAGGAAAUGAUUCUAACAGAAGUUCUAACCACAUGGAAGGAAGCAUUAGCAGUGAGGAAUAACUGUUCUCUCCCUAAACAUACCACCCAAGGGAAUACUAAAUUAGCAUGAAGAGCAUACGCCUGUGAUCUCAGCUAUUCGGGAUGCAGAGGCAGGAGGAUCACAUGAGCUCAGAAGCUCAAGCCCAGCCUGGGCAACAUAGAAAGACAUAGACUAAAAAAGGAAAAAAAAGGAAGAAAAAAAAAAAGAAGGAAAAAAAUUAGCAUGAAGAAUUCAAGGGAGACAAGACAACAGAGCCACCUUCCUAGCCAAGAAAAACCCCAGCUUGCAGUUUACUGAAUAGAAGUGUGCCACUUGACAGAGUAGUUUUAAUGACACUGAACCUUUUGUGAGUUUUGCACUUCUCUUGGCUGAAGUCUUCAAACUGGCUCAAAGAAGCUCCAGUCUCUUCAUUCUUGUGUCUUAGGAGAGACUGAUGAGAGAGCAAAACCAUUGGUCAGAAGUGAUACCCUGCUCUGAUGGACAGAAGCUGAGCUGAAGAUACAUGAUGUGUAGACCUGGCCUCAGGGAGAAGAUGAAGAACACUCAGUGAGUAAAGAUACAAAGCAGGGAAGAUAUCAUCGACAAUAGAAGACAAGCUGAUCAUUCAGAUAGCAAAGGACUGGGAGCACGGUCUCAGUGUGCAUGUAAAAGAAAGAAGCCAAUAGCCAAAAAUUAAUGAUCAUCCUGAGGGGCC